GGGGUUGUGGCUCGAGUGGUAAGGUGCUUGCCUAGCACACAGGAGGCACUGGGUUCGAUCCUCAGCACCACA
rnacentral:tRNA from 1 species